UAAUACGUAGGGUGCGAGCGUUAAUCGGAAUUACUGGGCGUAAAGCGUGCGCAGGCGGUCCGCAAAGUCUGAUGUGAAAGCCCCGGGCUCAACCUGGGAACUGCAUUGGAAACUAACGGGCUCGAGUGUGGCAGAGGGGGGUGGAAUUCCACGUGUAGCAGUGAAAUGCGUAGAGAUGUGGAGGAACACCGAUGGCGAAGGCAGCCCCCUGGGCUAACACUGACGCUCAGGCACGAAAGCGUGGGGAGCAAACAGGAUUAGAUACCCUGGUAGUCCACGCCCUAAACGAUGAUCACUGGGUGUUCGGGGAGCGAUCUCUGAGUACCGAAGCUAACGCGUGAAGUGAUCCGCCUGGGGAGUACGGUCGCAAGAUU
rnacentral:rRNA from 1 species